CCUACGGGAGGCUGCAGUUGGGAAUAUUGGACAAUGGGCGAAAGCCUGAUCCAGCCAUGCCGCGUGUGUGAAGAAGGCCUUCGGGUUGUAAAGCACUUUCAGUGGGGAAGAAAGCCUUGGGGCUAAUACCCUCGAGGAAGGACAUCACCCACAGAAGAAGCACCGGCUAACUCCGUGCCAGCAGCCGCGGUAAUACGGAGGGUGCGAGCGUUAAUCGGAAUUACUGGGCGUAAAGCGCGCGUAGGCGGUCUGAUAAGCCGGUUGUGAAAGCCCCGGGCUCAACCUGGGAACGGCAUCCGGAACUGUCAGGCUAGAGUGCAGGAGAGGAAGGUAGAAUUCCCGGUGUAGCGGUGAAAUGCGUAGAGAUCGGGAGGAAUACCAGUGGCGAAGGCGGCCUUCUGGACUGACACUGACGCUGAGGUGCGAAAGCGUGGGUAGCAAACAGGAUUAGAUACCCCAGUAGUC
rnacentral:rRNA from 1 species